GAUGAACGCUGGCGGCGUGCAUAACACAUUCAAGUCGAACGGGGCAGCAAUGCCUAGUGGCGGACGGGUGAGUAACGCGUGAGCAACCUGCCUGUGUGAGGGGGACAACAGCCGGAAACAGCUGCUAAUACCGCAUGAAGUAUUCGAAUCGCAUGACUUGAAUACCAAAGAUUUAUCGCACACAGAUGGGCUGGCGUCCGAUUAGCUAGGUGGUGAGGUAACGGCAGACCAUGGCGACGAUCGGUGGCCGGACUGAGAGGUUGAACGGCCACAUUGGAACUGAGAUACGGUCCAGACUCCUACGGGAGGCAGCAGUGGGGAAUAUUGGGCAAUGGGCGAAAGCCUGACCCAGCGACGCCGCGUGAAGGAAGACGGUCUUCGGAUUGUAAACUUCAAACAACAGGGAAGAAACAAAUGACUGUACCUGUUAGGAAGCCACGGCUAACUACGUGCCAGCAGCCGCCGUAAAAC
rnacentral:rRNA from 1 species